AAGGCAAGAGUGUGAGCACCCGCCUUGUUUCCGCUGAAGGCUGGUAAACAAAACCGGCUCUAGCAAGUCUACGCUGUGGUCUGGAACCUGGAAAGUGUGGAAAGUUUGCCUACUUCAAAGUGCCCCCACGGUUCUUACAUUAAUUAAUCUAAAAUAUUUUGGGUUGGCAUUGAAGUCAGUUUGAGUCUUGAAGCUUGAAGCUCAGAAAAGAGAGAUCAGGAAAUCAGAUUUGUGCCACGUUGCUCAUGUGAGCUCAGACCAGAGAGAUCAGUAGAUCGGGUUAGUGGCACGUUCCUCAGGUGAGCUUUUCACACAAGUGAGCUUUUCAUAGCACAUCUGCCUCUUUUCCGCUGAUGUUUUGGAGUGUGGCCAUUCUCAGCUGUUGGAGACAGACAUACGGACACGCAUUUGCGCACACACACUGAUCCAGUGAGCUCACAGGGACCGAGCUGUGUGUUAAACCAACAUUUUUUUUCUCCUUUGACCUCCUUGGAGCUGGCAGGCUGUGCCAGGGAGUGCGUCCAACGCCCAGCAGGAACAAGGUCAACUCUUUGUGUCGGGGCCCGUGUGGGGCAUCUGACCACUGGCACGAACAAGGUUGACUCUGUGUGAGGGGGCAUCUCUGUGCCCACUGUGGCAGGCAAUGACUGAGCAGAAACUCAGACAUCUGAUUGACACAGGCACCCACACUUAACCCCGUAACACUUUGACAUCAUACAGUGUAAUUGCCAUUUGGGUGGGUCAGGUGAGGUCACCCAGAUUGUCCCUCUGUUAGGAGACUUUUAAGGGUCCCAGAUUCUUUGAGGUCCUACUUAGACAUGUCAAGAUAUCAUAAGGUUUACAGAUAUUAUAUCAUAAUCUCCUCACGUCCCAUAGUGCACAGUGAAUUACAUGAUGAUGUUUCAUUUGUGUGACACAAGCCCAGAGUGAGUCUGUGGUUUGAAACUGUGACUGGAGCGCCCUCUCUGUUUUAAUGUCUCAUUUAUUUUAGAGGAGGGUUUUUGUAGAAAAACAGCAAUAAAAAGUAUUUUUAUGCCCUCA